rnacentral:tRNA from 1 species
GUUAACUUAGUGUAACAGAUCACACAUCGGACUUUCAAGCCGAAAAAACUAUAAAGUAGUUAACC